rnacentral:lncRNA from 1 species
UCUUUGCUUCGCUAGCUGAAGCGCUUUAUGACUCACCCCUGCCUUUCAGAUUUUCCAGGUGGAUGUCAGAUCUUGGUCCACUUCACUCACCAAACUCCUGCAUAAACACAGCAGGGCCUGAAGUUUCCUUGAAAACUUGCCUCGCUUACAAACGGCAAGAGGCCCUCCACCUCCCCUUGUGGAAGACGGGGAGAUGGUGAGAACGGCCGCGUGGCCCGCUGCAAACGAGUCCUCCUCAAGGGUCUCCAACUGCGAGUUCUCUGGGAAAGAUCAGCCCGGACUGAGCAAAACCACGUAUCCCUAUAACUUACUUCCUGCUUGCUUCAACCUCCAGCUAAUUACUCGAACAGCACCUUCGACGAAGAAAAGCUGACACAGAAACUGGACAGAGUCUGUGUCUCAAGUGCGCUGAGGAGAGAGCGUUUUACCAACAUAUGAAGUCCAAAAGUCUGGGAACCUCACUGUACAUCAUCAUCCACGACCCAGUGAAACAGUGGGAAGACAUUCCAGAGGUUUUGAAGACGGGCCAUUAGAUUCAAAUUCUUCUCUGACAGAUGCCAUUGGCAGGUAUGCAUGACAUCUAGCUUUAUACCUCUGUCUAUGGUUAGAAAAAGGCUCAGCUUUUUGCUGCCCUGUUCUUUUGAGACUUCCUCCAUUUCACUUCUUACCACCCGCAAUAGUUAUUUUUCAAUAGGUUUCGCCAGUCAUGCUAAACCAGUCAACAGCAUAAUGCACCUUCCCCGGGCGGG